GAUGAACGCUGGCGGCGCGCCUAACACAUGCAAGUCGAACGAGCGAGAGAGAGCUUACUUUCUCAAGCGAGUGGCGAACGGGUGAGUAACGCGUGAGGAACCUGCCUCAAAGAGGGGGACAACAGUUGGAAACGACUGCUAAUACCGCAUAAUGUCAUUUGGGGGCAUCCCUGGAUGACCAAAGAUUUAUUGCUGAAAGAUGGUCUCGCGUCUGAUUAGCUGGUUGGCGGGGUAACGGCCCACCAAGGCGACGAUCAGUAGCCGGUCUGAGAGGAUGAACGGCCACAUUGGGACUGAGAUACGGCCCAG
rnacentral:rRNA from 1 species